rnacentral:rRNA from 1 species
GAUGAACGCUGGCGGCGUGCCUAAUACAUGCAAGUCGAGCGAACAGACGAGGAGCUUGCUCCUCUGACGUUAGCGGCGGACGGGUGAGUAACACGUGGAUAACCUACCUAUAAGACUGGGAUAACUUCGGGAAACCGGAGCUAAUACCGGAUAAUAUAUUGAACCGCAUGGUUCAAUAGUGAAAGACGGUUUUGCUGUCACUUAUAGAUGGAUCCGCGCCGCAUUAGCUAGUUGGUAAGGUAACGGCUUACCAAGGCGACGAUGCGUAGCCGACCUGAGAGGGUGAUCGGCCACACUGGAACUGAGACACGGUCCAGACUCCUACGGGAGGCAGCAGUAGGGAAUCUUCCGCAAUGGGCGAAAGCCUGACGGAGCGACGCCGCGUGAGUGAUGAAGGUCUUCGGAUCGUAAAACUCUGUUAUUAGGGAAGAACAAAUGUGUAAGUAACUAUGCACGGCUUGACGGUACCUAAUCAGAAAGCCACGGCUAACUACGUG